rnacentral:lncRNA from 1 species
UCAUGGUAACAUUUGGCAUUGCAGUUUGCAGCGAGAUUACCACUUUGUGUGCCUGCUGAUAACAACACUGUGUGU